GAACUGAGACACGGUCCAGACUCCUACGGGAGGCAGCAGUGGGGAAUAUUGCGCAAUGGGGGGAACCUGACGCAGCCAUGCCGCGUGAAUGAAGAAGGCCUUUCGGGUUGUAAAGUUCUUUCGGUAAUGAGGAAGGGAUGUUGUUAAAUAGAUAGCAUCAUUGACGUUAAUUACAGAAGAAGCACCGGCUAACUCCGUGCCAGCAGCCGCGGUAAUACGGAGGGUGCGAGCGUUAAUCGGAAUAACUGGGCGUAAAGGGCACGCAGGCGGACUUUUAAGUGAGAUGUGAAAUCCCCGAGCUUAACUUGGGAACUGCAUUUCAGACUGGGAGUCUAGAGUACUUUAGGGAGGGGUAGAAUUCCACGUGUAGCGGUGAAAUGCGUAGAGAUGUGGAGGAAUACCGAAGGCGAAGGCAGCCCCUUGGGAAUGUACUGACGCUCAUGUGCGAAAGCGUGGGGAGCAAACAGGAUUAGAUACCCUGGUAGUCCACGCUGUAAACGCUGUCGAUUUGGGGAUUGGGCUAUAUGCUUGGUGCCCGAAGCUAACGUGAUAAAUCGACCGCCUGGGGAGUACGGCCGCAAGGUUAAAACUCAAAUGAAUUGACGGGGGCCCGCACAAGCGGUGGAGCAUGUGGUUUAAUUCGAUGCAACGCGAAGAACCUUACCUACUCUUGACAUCCUAAGAAGAGCUCAGAGAUGAGCUUGUGCCUUCGGGAACUUAGAGACAGGUGCUGCAUGGCUGUCGUCAGCUCGUGUUGUGAAAUGUUGGGUUAAGUCCCGCAACGAGCGCAACCCUUAUCCUUUGUUGCCAGCGAUUCGGUCGGGAACUCAAAGGAGACUGCCAGUGACAA
rnacentral:rRNA from 1 species